rnacentral:rRNA from 1 species
UGACCUGCCCAAUGAUUAAUUAUUUAAUGGCUGCAGUAUUUCGACUGUACAAAGGUAGCAUAAUCAUUUGUCUUUUUUGAAGUCUUGAAUGGUUUGAUGAAAAAUAUGUUUUCUUUAUUUUAAAUGGGAAAUUUAAUUUUUUAGUUAAAAAGCUGAAAUUUUAUUAUAGGACGAGAAGACCCUACUUUAUUUUUAAAUUUAUAAAUUUAAUAUAUAUUUUAAAGUGUAUAAUGAUUAAAUUUUGUUGGGGUGACAGAAAAAAUAUAAUAACUUUUUCUAUAUUUUUCAUUAUUAUUGAGUUUUUGAUCCUUUUUUAGGGAUAUAAGAUUAAGUUACCUUACGGAUGACCCCGUUAUUUUUUUAAAGAAUUCUUUUCCCCUAAGUAUUUUGCGACCUCCAUGUUGGAUUACCAUAUCAUGUGGGAGUUUAACAUCCUUUUCUUUGUCUGUUCACCCUUUAAUUUUUUACC